GAUGGAUUUUUUUUGUUGUUUUUUUCUAUAACGGUACAAAUAAUGAAAGGUGAUGGAUUGGCCAGAUGCUGGCCGGUGUGUAAAAAUAAGUCAGUUGUUUGGUGGUGGCUAUGCAACAUUCAGCAUCUGAUCCUUGUUCGUCUGUGUGCUUCUGCGUUUGUGUCAAAUGUCAAACAGCUGGAAAGGAAACUACACCAGUGCACUGGGAUGUUUCCCCAACUCGUGCCAGACGCUGUUCCUGCCUGUGAAGGUAACAUCAGCAGAGACAGCCCGCCUACCUCAGGACCUCGCCAAGUCACGUAUUGAUCACGAUGGUUAUGAAGAUGACAGCGAGCGGAAGACUGUAAAAAUCCACCACCAGAAUGUUUAGAUGCUUUCUAAUUAUUAAUGAAUAUCGUGUUUGUGUGUUUUGGGUUUUGUUUUUUUGGCCUCAUUUGUUACUAACAAAGGUCACCAAGCUCAGUUUACAUUCUGUAUGUGUUUUCAUCUUUAGCAGCCACACUCUGACUGCAAUUAAGAAAAACACAAACUUUUAAAUAUUGAAGGGGUUCAGGUAGAGCCGGCUUAUGAAUUACUAUGAACACUUACCAUACUGUACCUGUACAACAUGUUUUUGUAUGAGACAGAUUUGUAACAGAGGCCUUAGUCUCAGUAAGUUUGAAGUCCUUUCCUGAUUUAUUUUGCAAUCUCUGCUCUUUCAUUGAUGAUAAUUCAGUGCUGCUUCCCUUUUUCCCAACGACCGAGACUGUCGGAGUCGGGGCUCGAACCGGCAACCUUCCAAUUAGAAGACAAACUGCCACGAUCGCCCAUAAAGUGCAAGUGUUCCUGAGUGUUAACAGCACAGUUAACGUUCAAUCAGGGUGGAGGUAGGGCAUGUUUGACAGCCUGUGGGUAAAAGCUUCUAUUGAGUCUGAUUAUCUUUGACCUGAUGGAUCUGUAGCGUUUACCAGAGGGAAUGGGGGAAAACGUGUGUGUCCAGGGUGCGAGGGGUCCUUGAUGAUGAUGAUACUGGCUUUCCGCUGAAGUCUGCCAGUAUAAAUGUCUUUGAGGGGGGUUAGUGAAGUGCCAAUUGCCCGCUCUGGCACCCUCACCACCCGCUGAAGUUUCCUCCUUGUCCUCCACAGUACAGCAGUUGAACCAGAGUGUGCAGCCGUAGGUCAGAAGAACAUAUGAGACACUUUGACUGUUCAGUGCAGUGUGGAGCCUAACAAAGGUCUGUUUUGUGUCCCAGCUGAUCAGCAGGAGGAGAAAAGUCUGAGGGAGCAGCAGAGGAACAUUUUCAGCCGUUUGCACUCAGCUCAGCUACUACAGAGAAAAUGAUGAGCUCAACACAGAAGGACCAACAUGGACCGAAAAGUCAGCGCUCUCAGGAGGCCGACAAACCUCACAGAAGAAAGAGAGAGAAAAACUACAGCUGUGACGAGUGUGGGAAGGAUUUUUCUCGCAAAGCUUCACUAUCAAGGCAUCAAGUCAUCCACACUGGAGAGAGACCGUUCAGCUGUGAUCAGUGUGGAAAGUCUUUUCCCUGGGAUAGUUGCCUAAGAAAACACCAACUCUUCCACAGAGGAGUUAAAGCGUACAGCUGUGAUCAGUGUGGCAGAGGUUUUGAUCGCAGUUGCAGCUUACAGAGGCAUCUGGUUACCCACUCUGGAACUAAGACAUAUAGCUGUGACAUUUGUGGAAAAACUUUCAGUCGGCGAGACAGCCGAAAUAAACACCUACGCAUUCACACCAGACAUGUUGUGUACUGGUGUGAUCAGCGUGGCCAACGGUUUAUAACAGAUGCACAGUUACAAAGCCACAUGUUUACCCACACUGAGGAGAAACCUUAUAAAUGUGACCUGUGUGAGAAGACUUUUGAACUGAAAAAGUAAUUGGAGUAAAAAAAGCAGAGCGACGCAGAUGGAUCCAGUUCUCAACCCUGUCAUCGCUGUGGUGGUGGGAAAGACUUUUGUUGUGACCUUUGUGGAAAAUGUUUCGGUCAUGCAAAGAGCCUAAAAAUACAUCAACGUAGACACACUGGAGAGAAACUGAAAUACUGCAAAGAAUGUGGGAGAAGCUUCACCAGAUCACAUGAGUUAAAACACCAUGAAGUCAUUCACAGUGGGGUUAAAAAGCACCUCUGUGAUCAGUGUGGGUCAUCGUUCACCACUGCAGGUGAGCUUAAAACACACAAACGAGUCCACACAGGAGAGAAACCAUACAAGUGCACACAUGGUCACACACACACAGCUGUGACCGGUGUGACAAGACUUUCAGGAAUCUCAGUUCAUACUCUGAACACAAACGAUCCCACGCUGCAGAUAAACUGUUUCACUGCUUCAAAUGUGCAAAAACCUUCACUUCACUAUCUGCUCUGUGCAAACAUCAGCGUGAUCACGCGGGGCGGAAAUCAUUCCCAUCUCCGGAUCACGGUGAAUCUGGUGUCAGGGUCAGAAUUAAAACUGUUGAGAUCCGACUCCACAGAUUUCAGCUGGAAUCUCAUGUAAAGAACUGAUGAGGCUGCUGUAAAUAUAAAUGUUCCUGCAGUUACAUCUUAAGCUUUCUAAACUCUUCUACUUUAGUGUUCUUAUCGAGUGGUUAGCUUUGUUUUGUUGGAAGAAGAAAUCUGUUGUUAUGUAAUCAAGUUGUUAUUGAAUGUAUUUUGAUCCAUGUGUUCUGUAGGUGUUCUUUGUUCAGGCUGUCUGUGUUAUGAAACGUUGCAACGGUUAAAUAAAAAAUCAAAAUGUUCAAUAAAGAAAUGGUUUAAUGACA